rnacentral:lncRNA from 1 species
CCCGAUACAGCCCUUGGUUGACUGCCCUCGACCAGCACAAAAACAUCCUGUGGCGGACUGCAAUAGCAUCGAAUAGUCCCCGUGAUAUGCAACUGUUCAGGGAAGUCCGGAACCAAUACACGCAGUCAGUCAGGAAAGCUAAGGCCAGCUUCUUCAGGCAGAAGUUUGCAUCCUGUAGCUCCAACUCCAAAAAGUUCUGGGACACUGUGAAGUCCAUGGAGAACAAGAGCACCUCCUCCCAGCUGCCCACUGCACUGAGGCUAGGUAACACGGUCACCACUGAUAAAUCCAUGAUUAUCGAAAACUUCAAUAAGCAUUUCUCAACGGCUGGCCAUGCCUUCCGCCUGGCUACUUCAACCUCGGCCAACAGCUCCGCCCCCCCCGCAGCUCCUCGCCCAAGCCUCUCCAGGUUCUCCUUUACCCAAAUCCAGAUAGCAGAUGUUCUGAAAGAGCUGCAAAACCUGGACCCGUACAAAUCAGCUGGGCUUGACAAUCUGGACCCUCUAUUUCUGAAACUAUCUGCCACCAUUGUCGCAACCCCUAUUACCAGCCUGUUCAACCUCUCUUUCAUCUCGUCUGAGAUCCCCAAGGAUUGGAAAGCUGCCGCAGUCAUCCCCCUCUUCAAAGGGGGAGACACCCUGGACCCAAACUGUUACAGACCUAUAUCCAUCCUGCCCUGCCUAUCUAAGGUCUUCGAAAGCCAAGUCAACAAACAGGUCACUGACCAUCUCGAAUCCCACCGUACCUUCUCCGCUGUGCAAUCUGGUUUCCGAGCCGGUCAUGGGUGCACCUCAGCCACACUCAAGGUACUAAACGAUAUCAUAACCGCCAUCGAUAAAAGACAGUACUGUGCAGCCGUCUUCAUCGACCUUGCCAAGGCUUUCGACUCUGUCAAUCACCAUAUUCUUAUCGGCAGACUCAGUAGCCUCGGUUUUUCGGAUGACUGCCUUGCCUGGUUCACCAAUUACUUUGCAGACAGAGUUCAGUGUGUCAAAUCGGAGGGCAUGCUGUCCGGUCCUCUGGCAGUCUCUAUGGGGGUGCCACAG